AUCAAGGCGCGUUCCUCCGUACAGUACUCCGGCAGGGCUUAUAUAGGCAAUCCAAACCCAGCCCAAGCAAACCUCCCCAAACCCAACACUUGCAGCAUGUCCAAAAUGGGAGACAGGCGCCUGAGUAACCCGGGCCAAGACGCCGAAAGGAGCCUGUUUGCGUACUGCGGCUGCCCUGUGAUUCUGGAUCUUGUCUCCUGGCCGGCGCCUCGAUUCCUACCCAGCUGGAUUGGGGGGCAACACUGCCUGGCGCAGCCAAGAGAGCGAAUGAGACCACAAAGAAGCAUAAAAUGAAUAGACAAUCCAACCAACCAAAGGUAAUUUAAAAUUUUACAUUUGAUAAAAUUAAGGUGAUGUGCAAAAUAGAAAUAGGGUAUUAUUUACUGGGUGGCAGACCUGCAGUGUAUUGCAUAUCUCCCAAUUCUUGUGAUAGAAACAAUUCCAGAAAUAUAUAAGUUUCCAUAUGUGCAGUUUUCUCCUGAUAGGUAUUCCUGUCUAUAUUAUAUAUUAAGGAUAAUGCAAAUAUAACCUUAACUGCUAAUAAAAAAGAAACUCAGUGUACAGAAGAAAUAAUAGGACACUUUUAUUAGAAAGUAAGCCAGUCAAGUACCUUGCCUGAACUGUAGAGAUCACUAUAAAUUAAAUGGCUUUUAUGUGGAAAAUGGUAGUCUUGACUAUAUUAGUGGACUGUGGUUUACAUUCAUGAGAAUCAUACAAACUCAAUAUUAAAAAGGGAUUUCAGUGAUAGGCCAAUUUCUUUAUAUACUCUGCAGAGGUCUGAAUAGGAUUCAGAGAGGUGUUCUACGUAUUAGUGGCAAACCUGAUGUAUUUGCAUUUAUGGAAUAACGUAAUUCUGAUCUAAAUAUGUGGAAAAUCAUAACUUUCCACUUUUAACUUAAGCAGAGAUUGUUUAUUCCCAAGAAAACCAGGAUGUUUCAAUUCAAGUUUCAGCCAUCUGGAGACCUAUAAAAAGAUUAGAAAACAAGCAUGACAAUCACGUCCCAAUCUAUUGGUCAUUAAUGGGAAUUUAUUAGAGAAUGAGUAGGCAAGCCAUAUGAAUUCAGUAUAUCCUUCAAUAUGCAGAUUUCAAAAAGCUAUUCUGUAACUCAGCUAAAUAGCUUUUUGAAAAGCAAAAAUAACUGAAAUAAAAACAUGUAGGUGUUAAUAGUUGCUCAUAACAAUGUGUGGCAGACAUUGCUGGAAAUCUUUAGAAUAGCACAAUUGUUUCAACUUCUCUCACAUCCUAGAUAGUAAUACAGUUUUUGAAAUGAAUGUGAUAAACCUUGGCAAUAUUCAGAAUAACCAGGUGCUCAAUGUUAAGUCUUGCUAUGUAUUUUUUAUUUCUUUAUACCUUGAAAGAUGAUGGAGAGGUAAAAUAUUUAAUUAGCUAGUGAACAGACUGUCCAUAAUCAUCAUGUUGGAUAAAUUCACUUUGGGGCGCUCUGAAAUGAGCUGCAAUAUAUGUGACAGGCAAGGGGCCAGUCUUGGAGUUAGUUGAUAUGACUAUGUGGCAUUGCCAUAGAAGAUGCUGUUUUAAGACAGUAUAUUCUAUAGCUUCUAAUUGUAGAAGCAUCUCAGAUGUUCAGUGUCUUGGCUUUAAUGAUACUUACUUGGGCUCUAAAAACGCAUUUAAUUGUUAAAUGUGGCAGCAUAGUUAUAUUCAUUUGCAAAUUCACACAAAUAUGGUGGUGAUACACACACAGAUGCAUUCCAUCUCUCUACUUUUACCAACCCCCACCCAGACAUAUAGAAAGCAAAGAGAUAUUCUAAAAAUAACUGACAUUUGGUAGGGUUUUGACUUAAGG
rnacentral:lncRNA from 1 species